UGGGGAAUAUUGGACAAUGGGCGCAAGCCUGAUCCAGCCAUGCCGCGUGUGUGAAGAAGGCCUUUUGGUUGUAAAGCACUUUAAGCGAGGAGGAGGCUACUUGGAUUAAUACUCUAGGAUAGUGGACGUUACUCGCAGAAUAAGCACCGGCUAACUCUGUGCCAGCAGCCGCGGUAAUACAGAGGGAGCGAGCGUUAAUCGGAUUUACUGGGCGUAAAGCGUGCGUAGGCGGCUUCUUAAGUCGGAUGUGAAAUCCCUGAGCUUAACUUAGGAAUUGCAUUCGAUACUGGGAAGCUAGAGUAUGGUAGAGGAUGGUAGAAUUCCAGGUGUAGCGGUGAAAUGCGUAGAGAUCUGGAGGAAUACCGAUGGCGAAGGCAGCCAUCUGGCCUAAUACUGACGCUGAGGUACGAAAGCAUGGGGAGCAAACAGG
rnacentral:rRNA from 1 species